rnacentral:rRNA from 1 species
UGAGGAAUAUUGGUCAAUGGGGGCAACCCUGAACCAGCCAAGUCGCGUGAAGGAUGAAGGUCUUAUGGAUUGUAAACUUCUUUUAUACAGGAAUAAAUUGGGGGACGUGUCCCCUUUUGCAUGUACUGUAUGAAUAAGGAUCGGCUAACUCCGUGCCAGCAGCCGCAGUAAUACGGAGGAUCCGAGCGUUAUCCGGAUUUAUUGGGUUUAAAGGGUGCGCAGGCGGGAUGUUAAGUCGGCGGUGAAAUUUUGCAGCUCAACUGUAAAAGUGCCUUCGAUACUGGCCUUCUUGAGUGUGGAUGAAGUAGGCGGAAUUUGUGGUGUAGCGGUGAAAUGCUUAGAUAUCACGAGGAACUCCGAUUGCGCAGGCAGCUUACUAAGCCACAACUGACGCUCAUGCACGAAGGCGUGGGGAUCAAACA